AUUAGAUUCAAAAAGUACCAGUUUCUUAUGUAAAGUUAGUGGAACAAAUGGCCAAUGACUUAGAAGCCUGAGGGGGUAGUUCCGGCAUAUUUAUUUCGUUGCCAAGGCAAUGCCAGGUGUUUGUGACCACAUGGGAGAAUGACAAGAAUGGGCAGCCUAGUGGCUGCUCAGGUGAGCAUAGGUCCACAGACCAAGAAGUAUCUCUGCUCCUAACCACUCUUUGUGUGUGCAUGAAGGCUAAUUGUUCAAGUCCAGGGGAAACUGGUGAAACAGGCAAUCCUCAUCCUCCUGGCCCCCAAUCUUCGCAGCAUCAGAAACACCUGCACUUGGGGUCAGGUCUGGGGAGAAGCAGCAGCUGGACAUAUUGCUCAAGCACCUCUCAGGCCUUGCCCCAUCACUGAAGUCAUAUAAUCCUUCUGUUCUUGGUGGAUUGGGUGAGUUAUAAGUCUUUUCAAGCUUUAAUAUUCUAUGCAUAUAAUAUUUUUAUAAAAUAGCUCCAUACAUGGAUGAAUU